rnacentral:rRNA from 1 species
UACGAAGGGGGCUAGCGUUGUUCGGAAUUACUGGGCGUAAAGCGCGUGUAGGCGGGUCUUUAAGUCAGGGGGGAAAUGCCAAGGCUCAACCUUGGAACUGCCUUUGAUACUGGAGAUCUUGAGUCCGGGAGAGGUGAGUGGAAUUGCGAGUGUAGAGGUGAAAUUCGUAGAUAUUCGCAAGAACACCAGUGGCGAAGGCGGCUCACUGGCCCGGUACUGACGCUGAGGUGCGAAAGCGUGGGGAGCAAACAGG